rnacentral:rRNA from 1 species
ACGCCUAAUACAUGCAAGUCGAACGAAGUAGCAAUACUUAGUGGCGAACGGGUGAGUAUAAUGUGGGUAUCUGCCUUUUGGUUUGGAAUAACACGAGGAAACUUGUGCUAAUACCGGAUAAGCCUUUACGGGGAAAGUUUUAACGCCGAAAGAUGAGCCCGCACUUGAUUAGCUAGUUGGUAGGGUAAAAGCCUACCAAGGCUACGAUCAAUAGCUGAUCUGAGAGGAUGAUCAGCCACAUUGGGACUGAGACACGGCCCAAACUCCUACGGGAGGCAGCAGUAGGGAAUCUUGCACAAUGGGGGAAACCCUGAUGCAGCGAUGCCGCGUGAGUGAAGAAGGCCCUUGGGUUGUAAAGCUCUUUCGUCGGGGAAGAAAAUGACUGUACCCGAAUAAGAAGGUCCGGCUAACUUCGUGCCAGCAGCCGCGGUAAUACGAAGGGACCUAGCGUAGUUCGGAAUUACUGGGCUUAAAGAGCUCGUAGGUGGUUAGAAAAGUUAGUGGUGAAAGCCCAAGGCUCAACCUUGGAACUGCCACUAAAACUUUUUAACUAGAGUGUGAUAGAGGUAAGCGGAAUUUCUAGUGUAGAGGUGAAAUUCGUAGAUAUUAGAAAGAACACCAAUUGCGAAGGCAGCUUUCUGGAUCAUUACUGACACUGAGGAGCGAAAGCAUGGGUAGCGAAGAGGAUUAGAUACCCUCGUAGUCCAUGCUGUAAACGAUGUGUGCUAGACGUUGGAAAUUUAUUUUUCAGUGUCGCAGCAAAAGCGUUAAGCACACCGCCUGGGGAGUACG